rnacentral:rRNA from 1 species
GAUGAACGCUGGCGGCGUGCUUAACACAUGCAAGUCGAACGGUGAAAGCGGAGCUUGCUCUGCUGGAUCAGUGGCGAACGGGUGAGUAACACGUGAGCAAUCUGCCCCUGACUCUGGGAUAAGCGCUGGAAACGGCGUCUAAUACCGGAUACGAGCUGCGAAGGCAUCUUCAGCAGCUGGAAAGAACUUCGGUCAGGGAUGAGCUCGCGGCCUAUCAGCUAGUUGGGGAGGUAACGGGUCACCAAGGCGUCGACGGGUAGCCGGCCUGAGAGGGUGACCGGCCACACUGGGACUGAGACACGGCCCAGACUCCUACGGGAGGCAGCAGUGGGGAAUAUUGCACAAUGGGCGAAAGCCUGAUGCAGCAACGCCGCGUGAGGGACGACGGCCUUCGGGUUGUAAACCUCUUUUAGCAGGGAAGAAGCGAAAGUGACGGUACCUGCAGAAAAAGCGCCGGCUAACUACGUGCCAGCAGCCGCCGUAA